rnacentral:rRNA from 1 species
UUAGUGGCGGACGGGUGAGUAACGCGUGGAAAACCUGCCGUAUACUGGGGGAUAACACUUAGAAAUAGGUGCUAAUACCGCAUAAGCGCACGGCUUCGCAUGAAGCGGUGUGAAAAACUCUGGUGGUAUACGAUGGUUCCGCGUCUGAUUAGCUAGUUGGUGGGGUAAUGGCCUACCAAGGCAACGAUCAGUAGCCGGCCUGAGAGGGUGAACGGCCACAUUGGGACUGAGACACGGCCCAAACUCCUACGGGAGGCAGCAG